GUGAAAGUAGUGAGUCAAAGUAAUGUCUGAAUUAUUUUGUUUACUUAAUUUUCGUACAUAAAAAUUAAUUAUUUACAUUUAUAAUAAAAUAAAAAAUUAAGGAAUCAAUAAUUAUUACUUAUUAAAAAAAAAAAAUUCAUUUCUUGCCUCGUUUCUCUUUUUAACAUAUUUCUAUCUUGUCUUUGCUCUCAGCUGCCUCCGGUCGUUCCGUACCCUUUGAUAAUAUUCAUCUCUAUCGAUGAUCGAGAUGGAAACAAUGGUUCAACUUUAAUUAUUUUAAUAAUUCAAAAGUGACGCUAUAUUGUUUUAAUGUAAUUUUACAAAUAUUAGCUUUAAUAAUAUGUUGUUUUUUAUUGGAUUCACUAAAGCCUCCUUAGAUAGUAAACGUCAAUUAACGUAAUUAAAUUACGAUGUAUAUCUAAAAAAAUUUAAUUGGACAACUAAAUAAGGUUAGAAUACAAAGAAGAAUACAACGAUGAAAGGUACAAGCAUAAUAAUCAUGAGGAAAUGAUAAUACUACGGAAGGAAUAAUGGAAUUUUGUCAUCGCUUACAUACUGAAGAUGUGAAUUUUAUAAUACUAGGGACAUGAUUGAUUAUUUUACAAUACUUACAAAAACAGCAAUGAAUAAAAGAUAAAUUGGCAUAUUUGGAAACACGACAAUUACCAUAAUUAUUUAUGGUCUGAAAAUAUAAACUAAAAAGUGAAAAAGUGAUUGCAAAAUUGUAUAGGAAUGAGGGGCCGGUACUGCUGACAAAAAAAAUAUUUGAAAAAUGUAUUAACAAUUUGAUCGCUAAAAUUUGAUGGCCAAACAAAAAAAUUACCUAAUUUCGAAGAAUUUGUAUUGUAAAAAAGCAUAAGUGAAAUUGUAUACGGAUGAAAGGGCCGGUACUGCUGAUAAAAAAAUAUUUGAGAAAUUUAUUUACAAAUUAAUCGCUAUAAUCUGAUGGCCAAAAAAGAAAUUAAUUUAUUUUUAAGAAUUUGUAUUGUGAAAAAGUGUUUGUGAAAUCGUAUAGGGAUGACGGGCCGGUACUGCUGAUGAAAAAAUAUUUGAAACAUUUUUUUACAAACUAAUCGCUAUAAUUUGAUGGCCAAAAAAAUUAAUUUAUUUUUAAGAAUUUGUAUUGUAAAAAAGUGAUUGCGAAAUUGUAUGGGGAUGAGGGGCCGGUACUGCUGAUAAAAAAAUAUUUGAGAAAUUCAUUUAUAAAUUAAUACACAAUAUCGCUCACUUUUUUACAAUUCAAAUUCUUGAAAAUUAACUAAUUUUUUUUGUUGACCAUCAAAUUAUAGCAAUUAAUUUGUAAAUAAAUUUUUCAAAAAUUUUUUUAUCAGCAGUAUCGGCCCCUCAUCCCCAUAAAAUUUUGCAAUCACUUUUUUUGUAGAAUUUGUAUUAUGGAAAAGCAUAAGCGAAAUUGUAUAGGGAUGAGGAGCCGGUAUUGUUGAUAAAAAAAUAUUUGAGAAAUUUAUUUACAAAUCAAUUGCUAUAAUUUGAAGGCCAAGAAAAAAAAUUAAUCAAUUUUUAACAAUUUGCAUUGUGAAACAGUGCGAGCGAAAUUGUAUAAAGAUGAGGGGCCGGAACUGCUGAUGAAAGAAUAUUUGAAAAAUUUAUUUUCAAAUUAAUUGCUAUAAUUUGAAGGCAAAAAAAAAAUUAAUUUAUUUUUGAGAAUUUGUAUUGUGAGAAACUGUUUGCAAAAUCGUAUAGGGAUGAGGGGCCGGUACUGCUGAAAAAAAAAUAUUUGAGAAAUUUUUUUACAUAUUAAUCGCUAUAAUCUAAUGGCAAAAAAAAAAUUAAUUUAUUUUAAAGAAUUAGUAUUGUGAAAAAGUGUUUGUGAAAUCGUAUAGGGAUGACGGGCCGGUACUGCGGAUAAAAAAAAUAUUUGAGAAAUUUUUUUACAUAUUAAUCGCUAUAAUCUGAUGGCAAAAAAAAAAAUUAAUUUAUUUGAAAAAAUUUGUCUUGUGAAAAAGUGAUUGCGAAAUUGUAUAGGGAUGAGGGACCGGUACUGCUGAUGAAAAAAUAUUUGAGUAAUUCGUUUAUAAAUUAAUACAUAAUGUAGCUCUCGCUUUUUCACAAUACAAAUUCUUCAAAA